CUGAUGGAACUGCAGAGGGGAUGAACAGAAUACAAUGCAAAUGGACCCUAGUUAAUUGUUCUGCUUUGGAUUCUCCAUCUCAACAAAUGAAGAGAUUGUCCACUAUUAGGCAAUCCUAGCAUCUUUCCUGUAUCCUUUCUAAGAUGCAUUUGAAUAUUCUGUGUGAUUUAGUCAGAAAUAUUAAGGCUGUGCUGCAACCACAAGAUUAAUCUUCUAUACGUAGCAUUUGGAAACAGCCCAAUCCGUGUCAGGCCUACUGUGUGAUGCUCUGAUUUUAUUUGUUAUUUGGGUCCAAAUAUGAUAAGUUAAAUAAAAAGUUCUGUUUUGCCCUCAUUGACUAUAAUGAGGAAUCUAAAAAAUAAACUUUGCUGGAAUUUGCUGUCAAGGCAGUCUUUCUAGAGGAGAUUAAGCCUGCCUGCUAAAUUCCAGCCGGAUUUAUCAAGGGUUUUUUUUGUUUGUGCAGGAAACUUUCAAAGUGUGUUUGUUGUUGUUUUGCUCGAAUUUGAUGCUAAUUGCAGGCAUAGCCAACCCUUCUGAGGAGAUGAAGCCUCUUAUACUUUGGAAAGAUAGAUACCGGUAGAUCUCCCUCAAUGACAAACUUUACCAUGGGGGGGGGGUGAAGGGGUGGCCAUAGGACAUGCUGAAUUUUUAAACUCUCAAAUUCCAAAAAUGUUGGGUUCUAAAAAGUGGUAACAUGACUUGGGAACUCAAAAGCUAUUUUGGUUAAAUUAAUAUGAAUUUGUUUUGCUUGCUAAAUGAAAUGUGUGUAAAAUUGCAUAGAAAUCAUCAAAAAUGAUUGCCAAGUACUUGCAAUUUUAUUAUGUAUUAUUUCAUAUUAUUAUUAUUAUUAUUAUUAUUAUUAUUUAGAAUCUCCUGAUAUUUUCAGAAGAUAAACUUAAAAUUCUUUGGUUUUCCUAAAGCAGUUUAUGUGCUUCUUCAUCAGACGUAGACUUACAAAGCUACAUGUUGUCCAAUCACAAAAACAAUAGCAGAUUUGAAUUCCUCACACCCCAAAACAUAUUUUUAAGACCCCCCCCCACUGAAUAAAUUAGCAAAAAUUAAGUUUUGCUCCUGAAAAUGACAUGCCCUAGUGGGGCAGUGAGCAUUCUGUGUGAUGCUCUGUCAGUAUGUUGAACACAACAUCCAGCAACAUGCUACCAUGUUAUUCCCUGUGAGCAGCAGGGGCUGGGAAAUCAAAACGAGUAAGGCUGACUAAACAUUGUUGCAGAAGGAUGGCAGGCAGAAUUGCCAUUGCUGACAACAUCCCCAUGUGAAAUCUAGAUCCUCUAAUAAGAGCUUGAGGCCUAAUCUGUAGAGCCAUACUGAAAAUAGAAUACAUAUAUAUAUUCCCAUAGCCUAUUUUACUCCUGGAAAUGUUGCAGACACCUUGGCUCCACAUGCUUUUUUAUUUUUGAUGAUUUUUUGUCUGGCAGCAUUAAGUAUAUAGCACACAGUGCUGAGUCUGAGUGAAUUUCAAAACGGUGUGCUUCCAAGGGCACAGCUUUUUGAGCUCCAGUUCUGGAGAUGAGUAUACUCUGUGGGCUGUUUCACACAUGAUGUAUUUUUAAACAAAGAUAAUAUAACUGCAGAACAGUUUCCUGGAUGCAGCCACAUCUAACCUUAGCUAGAUCCCAGGUCCAGAUGAAUGGUGUGGGAAACUCAACAAAAUGGAUUCAAAGAAGAUCCCAGCCUAGCACUCUACUUCGACAGUGGACUCCCUUGGAAGGUGGAGGCCUCUCCUUCAUUGGAGACUUUUAAGCAGAAGUUUGUGGAAUCGUAGAGUUGG